CCUACGGGAGGCAGCAGUGAGGAAUAUUGGUCAAUGGUCGCAGGGCUGAACCAGCCAAGUCGCGUGAGGGAUGACGGUCCUAUGGAUUGUAAACCUCUUUUGUCAGGGAGCAAAGGGCGCCACGUGUGGCGCUUUGCGAGUACCUGAAGAAAAAGCAUCGGCUAACUCCGUGCCAGCAGCCGCGGUAAUACGGAGGAUGCGAGCGUUAUCCGGAUUUAUUGGGUUUAAAGGGUGCGCAGGCGGAAUGUCAAGUCAGCGGUAAAAUUUCGGGGCUCAACCCCGUCGUGCCGUUGAAACUGGCGUUCUUGAGUGAGCGAGAAGUAUGCGGAAUGCGUGGUGUAGCGGUGAAAUGCAUAGAUAUCACGCAGAACUCCGAUUGCGAAGGCAGCAUACCGGCGCUCAACUGACGCUCAUGCACGAAAGCGUGGGUAUCGAACAGGAUUAGAUACCCCGGUAGUC
rnacentral:rRNA from 1 species